rnacentral:misc_RNA from 1 species
AAAGUGCGAUAAGCACUGUGACUUGCAGAAUUCAGCGAAUCAGCAGAUUUCUCAACGCAAAAGGUGCUAGGUAGACUUGUCUGCCUGGCAGGCACAUUUCAACGUCGUUACAUUUGCAGUCAUUAAUUUCUGAAGAGUUCGCUCCACGAAAUUUCUGACAUGCAUUUAUGUCCGGAGCAGAAAUGCAACGGACGGGUGAUCCGCUACCACUUUUAUUGGCGGAUGGAUAAAGACCCCGCAUUACUUACUUGUAUUUAAUGCUUAGGGUAUUUCUCAUCACCGACUUGAAUUGUGCCAGACUACCCGCUGAAUUUAA